GUGGGGAAUUUUGGACAAUGGGCGCAAGCCUGAUCCAGCCAUUCCGCGUGCAGGAUGAAGGCCUUCGGGUUGUAAACUGCUUUUGUACGGAACGAAAAGCCUCUGGUUAAUACCUGGGGCUCAUGACGGUACCGUAAGAAUAAGCACCGGCUAACUACGUGCCAGCAGCCGCGGUAAUACGUAGGGUGCAAGCGUUAAUCGGAAUUACUGGGCGUAAAGCGUGCGCAGGCGGUUUUGUAAGACAGACGUGAAAUCCCCGGGCUCAACCUGGGAAUGGCGUUUGUGACUGCAAAGCUGGAGUGCGGCAGAGGGGGAUGGAAUUCCGCGUGUAGCAGUGAAAUGCGUAGAUAUGCGGAGGAACACCGAUGGCGAAGGCAAUCCCCUGGGCCUGCACUGACGCUCAUGCACGAAAGCGUGGGGAGCAAACAGGAUUAGAUACCCCAGUAGUCC
rnacentral:rRNA from 1 species